CGCGGCUCUCGUGGCUCCUGUUUCUCAGCCCAUUCCAGGUCACCUCCCCCCCCUCCCCCGUUGCCCUCAUGCCUGGAAACGGAAGUGCGCUCCCGGAAACGGAAGUGAAUGCCGUACUCCGCGUGCAGGCCCGCCUCCUUCCACAUCAACCAGUCUAAGGUUGCUCCCACCAGACUAGGAGGACUGGAGAGUAGGGUUGGGGUCAAAGGGUAGCCUCCUGCAGGUCGCCUCCUCCUGUGGCUUUCCCGGACGUCGCGCUGGGACUUCCUGCCGACACCGCACUUCUUCCCAGACUCCCACCUGCGCCGCUGGGGGCUUGGGUCCAGUCUUGCUCUGCCACCCAACCCUGGAGUGCAAUGGCGCAAUCUUGGCUCACUGCAACCUCUGCUUCCCAAGUUGAAGUGAU
rnacentral:lncRNA from 1 species